rnacentral:rRNA from 1 species
AAAUUGAAGAGUUUGAUCAUGGCUCAGAUUGAACGCUGGCGGCAGGCCUAACACAUGCAAGUCGAACGGUAACAGGAAACAGCUUGCUGUUUCGCUGACGAGUGGCGGACGGGUGAGUAAUGUCUGGGAAACUGCCUGAUGGAGGGGGAUAACUACUGGAAACGGUAGCUAAUACCGCAUAACGUCGCAAGACCAAAGAGGGGGACCUUCGGGCCUCUUGCCAUCGGAUGUGCCCAGAUGGGAUUAGCUAGUAGGUGGGGUAACGGCUCACCUAGGCGACGAUCCCUAGCUGGUCUGAGAGGAUGACCAGCCACACUGGAACUGAGACACGGUCCAGACUCCUACGGGAGGCAGCAGUGGGGAAUAUUGCACAAUGGGCGCAAGCCUGAUGCAG